rnacentral:rRNA from 1 species
UACGGGGGGGGCAAGCGUUGUUCGGAAUUACUGGGCGUAAAGGGCUCGUAGGCGGCCAACUAAGUCGGAUGUGAAAUCCCCAGGCUUAACCUGGGAACUGCAUCCGAUACUGGAUGGCUUGAAUUCGGGAGAGGGAUGUGGAAUUCCAGGUGUAGCGGUGAAAUGCGUAGAUAUCUGGAGGAACACCGGUGGCGAAGGCGGCAUCCUGGACCGAUAUUGACGCUGAUGCGCGAAAGCCAGUGGAGCAAACGGG